rnacentral:rRNA from 1 species
GACAGAGGCCCCGAGCGUUAGGCGGAAUCACUGGGCUUAAAGCGUGUGUAGGCGGGCCCGUAAGUGUCUUGUGAAAUCCCACGGCUCAACCGUGGAACUGCUGGGCAUACUGCGGGUCUUGGGCCAACUAGGGGCAGCCGGAACAAGCGGUGGAGCGGUGAAAUGCGUAGAUAUCGGGAGGAACACCUGUGGCGAAAGCGGCGCACUGGACCACAACUGACGCUGAGGCGCGAAAGCUAGGGGAGCAAACAGG